GAAAUCAUAUAUUGGAUAGAACUGCUGGAUUACAAUAGUAGAUAUUACAUGAGCAACUUCAUCCAAUUGUGAUACAUAAUCUAAAUAUUUUCUUGACAUUAAAACCUAAACUGAAAGCAUCCAUCAACAUCCCUACAACUUAACAAAAACUUAACUGAGGAACACGAACAUCAUCCAACAGGAACAACAUCCCUACAACUUAGCUACAACUAAAAGCGUCUGUCGUCAUUAUCAUCAUCAUCAUGAACCAGAACAGUAGAACACCAUCAUCAUCAUUGCAGUAUUCUUGCCACGCAACCAUAUAAUCAGCCAUAUAUCUUUUGAAUCUACAAAGAAAAUAACAAAAUGAAUUGUUAACACAGAAUGCAUUGACAUGAUGCAAGUAGUGAUAUAGGCACGAUAUGUCACAUACAAAGGUUGAGGGCAAUGCAAUCUUUGUUUUUCUGCAUUACCGAGAAUAUUACACGUUUUACGACUCCGUACCAAAUCUUCAGUUUUCACAAGUGCCAUAUCAACAUGCACUGCCGAGAAUUCAUUUGUAAUUUCAGCACCAUCAAGUGUACAUUUAGGAUCACGAUAUCAAAAAAAAAAUACAUUUAAGAUCACAACUUACAACUAUAGCAAGAGCUACGAUCCCUAUUAGAUAGAAGUGGAGACAUGAUACAAUGGAAAAUAAGGAUAAAGCCAUGUAAUUGCACUGCUUAAUUAAUCAAACCUUUUUAUUAACAAAAUGAAGUUAUAGAGAUGCAAAUGAAAUUUCAGUUUAUUUCAGGAAUAUAAAUAGAAGCACGGCCACUCUACAAUAAUGAUUGCAAGUUAUCAUCUUUCAAGAAGUACGGUGCAAAUAAAAGGACUACAAUAGGGGAAAGAACUAGACGUACAGUUACUAAGCUGAAGGACAAACAUGGCGAAAACCUUUGUCUGAUCUUUCGCUUCAUAGCCUUGAUGCUGACCUGCAUACAUGAGUAACUAAGAAUCUAUAAAAGAAGCUAAGAAUUUAUAAAAGAAGUCGCUCUGUUAUCAUUAAAAGUAUACAAUGAA
rnacentral:lncRNA from 1 species